AUUUCUCGUGAGUUAAGUCCUCGGUGUCAGAGGACUGCUGGUGUAGCUGCAUUUCUGGUGCGGAGGCCCUUUAUUUGACUGAUAGAGAAUUCCUCAGGCGGGAGGAGUUAAUCCCUGGCCUGAUGCUCCAAGCUUUUUGCACUUUUUGGCCCAAACUUCCCACUCCCAGAGACUCCCCACACAAUAGCACAAUAAGGCCUUUCAGUUCAUUUGAAGCAUUUGAAAGUGAAAGAACUUUACAAGCUCAGUAAAUGGGAACAGUAAAAUAAUUACAGUUAAAAUUAUUUGUUAUAGUUAAUUGAUAUAACAAUAUCCCCGGACGGGUUUACAGAGCCUGUAGAUACCGGAAGAUAAUUGAAAGCAUGUGGCAAGCCUGCCUCUGCACGAGUAAACUUCACCUGAGACUGACUGUAGUUUUUGUUUCAUUUUGAUUUCCUCAGAUGCUUCAUUCCUGUGCGAGAGAAACUCUGCUGAGGGACUUAACGUUGCUGGUAAACACUCUUUUCUUGAAAGCUGAUAUUUAAUGUUUUUAUCCGUCUCCUAGCAAUAUUUGCAGCUGAAACAAAUGUCGUAUCAACAUUUUUGAGUCAAAGCUCUUGAAGACUGUGAGGAACUUCAGAGCAACCUGACAAAUUCAGGCAAGCAAAGAGGGGAGAGUCAUUACCUCUGGAAACAGUGUACGAGGGGGACUGUGAUACUACAUUGUGACUGUUGCACCAGAGGCUGCCUUACUGAUUAUAAAGAUCUUUGCAACGUUACAUGAUCCAGGGAUUUCGUUGCUCUUAGUGUCACAAAUACAUGGAACCUAUUUAUGGAUGUAUAAGAAGUAUCAACAUUUUAAGUUUCCAUUGCAAGACAUAAUGGAGAGUGUUAAGAUGAAGACACUAAAAACUGUCAGCAUUAUUAUUAAGCACGCUCACCGCUUAACACACAGUGUCAAAUUAUAAACUACUCCAUUGCCUCCCCUCAUUCUGUGAUGCUUAAAGCAUCCUGUGUUCAGCAGUCCUUACCUUGCUUAAUUCUGGAGUUAUAUUUAACAUCAAACGCUUCCAUCCUGAAGUGGAUCCUUGACAGUCUUUAAUAUGACGAAAUGAUUUGGGCUUCCUGUCAUCCAGUUUAAAUCAGUUUUCUACCCAUGUAUAAAAAAAAAAAGAAAUUUGGAGCACAGCUCUUUCACAAUCUUUGAUGGCCACAAGCAAAACACUUCUAGUCCCAGCCUAACUCUCAAUUUCACUGCACUGCAUUGUCAUUGUAAUUGGAUGUGAUAGAUUUUCACUCUGUUUUAGUAAAAUUUUGUUUGCGCCUGAAUAAAUGUGCCACUAGCAG
rnacentral:lncRNA from 1 species